rnacentral:lncRNA from 1 species
AGGUAGUUGCAACUAGGAAAGAAGAAAGACAUGUUAAAAUACAGACUGCUCAGGUAGUUCUCAUUUUGCUACAAUCUUAUUAAUGAUGUUUUGGGCUUCUGCACAAGUAAUCAUGCUGAAUUCAUGGUGUAUAUACGUUAAUUCAGUUUGUUGUUGUAUUUUAUUUAUGUACCGUUAUCACUUGAUAAUCUUCUGUACUUUUAGAGACUUAGCCAGACUUUUAGAGAUUUGUAAAUUUACCUGUUUCAAUAUCCUCAUGUUAUAUCCUAGGAUAUGUAGUAUCUACUUUGUGCAUUUGAAAAUCUUUAACAUUGAUAAAUUUUUAUUGCUUAUGUAUAUGAAUACAUUUGGCUUCAUGGUUAUCCAACGAGGCAGGAUUUAUUAAUUUUUCAUAAAAAAAAUUAAAUAAUUGCAUCAGUUAAGUUUUGACUGGUAUGGAAUGCACAGGUAUGUGAUGUCCCGAUGAUAAUAAUUUUGGGUUUUAGAGUGUUUAAAAUUCCACUUACCUUGCACCUUCUUUAUAUAUUUUGAUGUAUGAGGCAGAGUACUGACUGGCCUUCAAUUGUUUCAUGGCUCAAAAAUUCCCUUACUAUCACUUAAGCAGUUAAGCUUGAAGAGUUACUAAGACAAAAAGUAAUAUUAUAGCUCUGCAUGGAAUCAAUAUGCGAUUGAUGUCUAACGUCUGAUGUAUAUUUUAUUCAAACUCCUCUGGCUAUCAAUUAUAUUUUUUUCUUUCUUUGCUCAUCUCUUCUGUGAGUUUCAUUGGUUAACAUUUAUUGUUGGAUUUGAUUGUGAUAGAUUUACAUCAGAUUAGCAUUUCAAUCGUUGGUGGGGCUGAUGGAACAAGUCCUUCCAAGAUGAGAGCGUGAGUUCAACUUAGUUAAUAAGUCUUCUUACAUAGUACUAUUAUUAGAUGCAAGCUAUGAUGACUGGGACAGUAGUUGUUUAAUUCUGAAAGAGGAUAAUGUAAUUCUAAUUAAAUAAUCUCUUAUGAUCCUCUCUAAU